rnacentral:lncRNA from 1 species
GGCGUCAGUCUUGGCUGGCAGACUUUGUACUCUGUAUUCCGUACGCGGAACUCGCAGCGGCGCGAUCUUCGGCAGCCUAGUCAUCCACCGCCAUCCUGGGCCCCACGUGUUGCCUGACCAUUCCUGAGCCCAGGUGGGAGCCGUGGCUGAGGUGACGGUCUCAAAGUGGAAGAGCUUACUGUCACAGCAACUCUUUUGCAAGAUGCCCCGUGUCCAUGAAACUGGGAGGCGACCUUGUUAGCUGCCAGUUCCUGACAGCCACCUCUCACCAGUGGCCUCACUCUGUGUCCCUGACCCAGCACAGGGCACAAGAGUGCCUGCCAUCCCUCAGUGUUUCUACAGCAGCAAUCCCGAGAUGCCAGAGCUAGAGGGGACCUGACCUGAGAGAAGAUACCUUCAGUGGCUGCCAGGCUGUUCCUUGGAACCUGUGCAGGGAUGAGGCCUGCCUGUGUUAAUACACUUAGUGAGGAGUGGAGCUGAAUUUAAACGCAAGUCUUGGCACCUUAAUUGAGCAAGUUUGAAACCUCGCUUGUUGCCCUUCUGGAAGGAGUCAGGAAUUUCCAGUUCUGGGCCUUGGCUGUGGGUCUGACAGACAGACCUCUGGCCCUAGGUUUGGGUGCCAGGUUCUCUGCUUCCAGAAUGAGAGGCUUUGCUGUGCACCAGGACCUGGGCCCUUCUGGUAUCUCCUGAAUGAAAAACAAGGGAUAUUUAAUAAAUAUGGAUUUAAAUAUG